rnacentral:misc_RNA from 1 species
AACGCAUCUUGCGCUCCUCGGCAUUCCGAGGAGCAUGCCCGUUUGAGUGUCGUGAAGUCUCUCGAAAGACAACGAGUUUUUCGGAUUUGGACGUCUUUUUGCCUCUCGUAGUCGAGGCUCGUCUCGAAAUGUAUUGCCGGGGUUGCCCCCGCCCGUACGGGUAGGACGUGAUAAGUUUUGCGUCCGCGUCGGGAGGAAAAAAGGGGCUCCUCGUUUGUAAAUCCCCCUGGGGGGAUAGCCAUCUCUGCACCUUGACCUCAAAUCGGGCAGGACUACCCGCCGAACUUAA